GCGAUGAACCAGGCUGUCGCAGUCUAAAAGGUCCAAGACCUUUUAGACUGAGGAAAGUCCGGGCUCCGCAGGGCAUGAUGCCGGGUAAUUCCCGGGCGGAAAGCUCCUAAGAUCUUUCCGACAGCAAGCGCAACAGAAAAAAUACCGCUCAGGCCUCAAGGCGCAGCCUGGGGCUUUAGUAAGGGUGAAAUGGCGGGGUAAGAGCCCACCGGGGAACCGGUAACGGUUCCAAAAAGGCUGCUGGGGUUUCCCCAGCAGCUUCUGGCAAGCCUCAUCAGGAGUAAAGUCAAGCAGCGGAAAACGGCCCGUUUUUUCCGCGGGUAGACUGCUGGAUGCCGUAUGUAAAUACGGCGCCAGAUAGAUGGCAGCGGGAAUUUCCGCUUUGCGGCGGAAAUUCGACACAGAACCCGGCUUAUGGUUCAUCGCUUUU
rnacentral:RNase_P_RNA from 1 species